GGCAAGCCGCUCCUAAAACACGGCUCCAGACACUAAACAUUGUUCAUCAGCUCUAUGAACAGUACCUAGCUUUAGCUACAGUGUCAGCUUCACACCAUCAACGCACGGCUGAGGGGAGGUUUAAUUAAUACAUGGAUCUGGGAGAAGAUUUUUUACAAGACUUCCUUGCCUAUUUUGUACGGCAUUAUCAUCAUUUUUCAGAGGGCAAUAGCACUCGGCUUUUGACUUCUCCUACAAGCCUAAUCGCUCAACCACACAAAACCAGAAUCAUUUGUUUUCCUAGCCAUUUGCUUUGUCUCGGCAUCCUCACUUCUCCUAUAAGCUCAAUCACUCAACUCACAUUUGAGGAAAGGUUCUCUAAUUCUCCCGACUCCAACCACUGCUUCUGCCAAGCCACAGAUCCUCUGAUUCCUCUGACCACCUCUUCCUUUACUGUAGGGAUCAAGGAUUGAUGUUGAAUUAUGGUGAAGAGAAGGAGAAAUGAUACGUAUUCUUUUAGAAGAAAGAGACAGAAUAAUCAACCUCAAACUAUAGGAGUUGCUGCCAUUGGCAUUGCUAGAGCAAGGAACCAAAGAGUGAUACAGAAGGAAUAAUUGAGCUCAAUAACGGUGACCUAGAACUAAUGAAGAUGGGAUUGGUGGUGCUUAAUAUGUUUAAAGCAUUGACUCCCUGCAGACCCACAAGCACGGUGGUGAUGAUGAAGAAGAAUAACAACUGAACUAACACCACAUGGAGUUGAGAUUAGUGCUGGAUAUCCACAAUCUUUGGAAGUAGUAGACUGAACGGAGUUAAAGAUGAAGAGAAAGAAUGAGGGUUCAGAUGAUCUUUCCAUAAAGAGCUCAGAUCUUUUUGUACUUGAGGGAUUUGUUAUUCAACUAGAGUCCAGCCAAAAGAAGUGCAAUGUACUAGCAGGGGCAUCUCACCAGUAGAUUUCGAGCUGCCUUUUGUCAUUAUUUAAAUUGAAACUAAUGUAUGCUUACAACUGGCGAUAUAUAUAUAUAUAUAUAUUUAUAUAUCCAUUGAUAGGAUGUCUUUUUAAAGGAUGGCGAUAUGGAAGGACACCUUGAGCAUUGUGCAAUGAAAUCUGUAACCUAUGCAUUGAUUUUUUGCUUUUCCUAUAUCAUAAAUAAUAUGAUAGCAUGCAAUAUAUUAAGGUUACAUAGUUUAUCCAUCAGUUAGUUUCUAUUGCACAAUAAUAUUUUUCUGUUUGCUUUUUAAAAAAGGUCCCAUCAGCCUGUUUUGCCCUCUUUCAUGGUUCGUAUUUGAUACACAGGACUUAACUCAUUACAUUGUAUCAAUGGAUGGGCUGAUCUCACAUGUUCUCUUGCCUAUUUUGACCAGGACAUGCUUCAAAUUACACUGAUAUUCUUGCAUGUUCCUACCUCGAUUCCAUUGAUGCAUUGCUGGAUUUGUUUUCUUCUCUCAGUUUGUUCUUUCCAAUAUUUAUCUGUUGUUUUGAUUGGCAUCAUGACUCGUGACACAAAAGUUCCUCUUCAACUUUGUUUGGUGAUAUAAAUAGGCAAGUUGCUUUUUGUAAGCCAUUAAAGAAAAAAUGAGAAAGACUAAAAGGAUGCUGUGUGAGUA